rnacentral:rRNA from 1 species
UAACGCGUGAGGGAACCUGCCUUCCAGAGGGGGCAACAGUUGGAAACGACUGCUAAUACCGCAUGAUGCGUUGGAGCCGCAUGACUCCGACGUCAAAGAUUUAUCGCUGGAAGAUGGCCUCGCGUCUGAUUAGCUAGUUGGUGAGGUAACGGCCCACCAAGGCGACGAUCAGUAGCCGGACUGAGAGGUUGGCCGGCCACAUUGGGACUGAGAUACGGCCCAGACUCCUACGGGAGGCAGCAG